rnacentral:rRNA from 1 species
UACGUAGGGGGGCAAGCGUUGUCCGGAAUCAUUGGGCGUAAAGAGCGUGUAGGCGGCCAGAUAAGUCCGCUGUGAAAUCUCGAGGCUCAACUUCGAGCUGUCGGUGGAAACUGUCUGGCUAGAGUCCGGAAGAGGAGAAUGGAAUUCCUGGUGUAGCGGUGAAAUGCGCAGAUAUCUGGAGGAACACCGGUGGCGAAGGCGGCAUCCUGGACCGGUAUUGACGCUGAGGCGCGAAAGCUAGGGGAGCAAACGGG